AAGACACUGAGCUCCUGUUUCAAGAGGCGUGGCCUCAAGUUCUCCCUGCAAGUGUCUUCCAAGAUGGUAUCCUCAUCUCAACUAUUUUCAGCCCCUUCAUCAGAAGUAGCCAGCUGGUGGUGUAGUGGCAUCCGCACUGGACUUCGGAGCAAGAGUUCUCAGUGCCCCUUCAUCUCCUAUUGAGCCAUCCACCCAUCCAAGCUACACACAUCAAAGUUGCUGGUGAACGCAGCAGGCCAGGCAGCAUCUCUAGGAAGAGGGUGUUCAACGGUCUUCUUCUUUAUGGGUUCUUUUGGGUUCCUUUGCUUCAUGGCUACCUGCUGGGAGACAAAUCCCAAGGUUGUACAGUCGGCCCUCCAUAUCCGCGGAUCGGGAUCGGAAAAAAAACCCAGAAGUUCUCUCUCCAGCACUCGUCGUUUGAGCACAGUUCCUGACAUUAGUAUUAUUGAGCCCCCUCCAAAGGUUCCUUGUUCCCUAAACAGUACAUUGUAACAACUAUUUACAUAACAUUUCCAUUGUAUUAGGUAUUAUAAUUACUGUAAUCUAGAGAUGAUUAGAAGUAUUACUCGUUUGAACAUUGUUUGCCUUGCGUCUCUUUCAUUCGCUACUUGUGUUGUGAGCGAGAGGGAGGAGUUUACAGCUAGUAAGGGAUGGCUGGCUAGCUAUGUAAAGCGCUACAGCCUCAAGAACUUAAAGAUCACGGGAGAAUCGGCAUUGGUUGAUGCCGAGGCAGCAUCAGCGUUCCCAGAAGAGCUAUGAUGGUUGCAUCCGUACUGAACAUGUACGGACUUUUUUUCCUUGUCAUUAUUCCCUAAACAAUACAGUAUAACAACUAUUUACAUAGCAUUUACAUUGUAUUAGGUACGAUAAGUAAUCUAGAGAUGAUUUAAAGUAUACGGGAGGAUGUGUGUAGGUUAUAUGCAAAUACUACGCCAU